GCGACCCCAGGUCAGACGGGAUUA
rnacentral:rRNA from 1 species